GGGAGGUUUCCCGAGUGGCCAAAGGGGGCAGACUGUAAAUCUGUUGUCUUUCGACUUCGGUGGUCCGAAUCCACCACCUCCCACCA
rnacentral:tRNA from 1 species